rnacentral:rRNA from 1 species
UAAAGGGCGUAAGGUGAAUGCGCUUGGCACUGAAAGCCGAUGAAAGACGUGAUAAACUGCAGCUGCGAGUGGCAACAAUACACGGUGAUCCGAAAGAUAUCUGAGAUGCAACCCACAUGAGCGAACCUCAUGUACCGUAUACUGAAUCCAUGGGUAUACGGAGGGACCAGUGAACUGGAAACUUAUCUAAGUGUGGAUGAAGAGAAAAGCAAAGGUGAUUCCCGCAAGUGGCGGCGAGCGAGACAUGGAGGAGCCCAAACACGGAAUGCUUGCAUUCCGGGUUCGAGACUGCCGGACGUGACUAACGAGGCCAAACAGAGAUGGUGCUGGGAGAGACGCAACCAGAGAGGGUGAAGAGUCCCGUAUAAGUGAAGGUGAGAGGAGAGCACAGCAGGAUCAGAGUAAUACGAGACACGAAAAACCUUGUAUGAACAGCAUGAGGACCACCCCGGCAAGGCUAAAUACUCCUUAGUGACCGAUGAGAGAUGAGUACCGUGAGGGAACGGUGAAAAGAACCCGGGAGGGAGUGAAGGAACCUGAAACCUUGUGCCCACCCUACAGCUGCGAGAGGACAGUGAUCGUCGAGCGCAUAAGAGUCCUGAUCGUGUACUUUUGUAGAACAGUCCGGCGAGCAUGUAAUGCCGGCGAGGGUUAGAGUGAGAUGAGCCGAGCGAGGACCGAGGUGUGAAGGCGCGCUGAGGUCGGUAUAUAUGGGCCCCGAGGCUUGGGUGACCUACCCAUGACCAGGAUGAAGCGGCCGUAAAAAGGCUGUGGAGGUCCGAGACACAUCCGUUGAAAGGGUGUGGUGAUGGAGUUGUGGGUGGGAGAGAUUCAAUCAGACAGAGAUGAGCUGGUUUCUCCCAGAGUAUAGCUUUCAAGACUAGCCUGAUGGCAUGCCUGAUGGAGUGCCACUGCAGACGUCUAAGGGGGCUUCACCGCUUACCGAGACCAUCAAAGCCACAGAUGCCAUACAGGAAGAGGCAUCAGGGGUCAGACUGCACGAGAGAUAAGUUGGGUGAGUCAAAGGGAAACAGCCCGGAUCUACAGCUAAGGUCCCAAAGUACGACGUUAAGUGGAAAAGGAUGCUGGGAUUUCAAAGACUAGCUAGGAUGGCAAAGGCUUAGAAGCAGCCACACAUUCAAAGAGUGCGUAGUGGCUCACUAGCCGAGAGGUCGCGCCGAAAAUUGCCAGGGGCUGAAACAUACAGACACAGAGCUUGGGGACUGGGCCAUAUCUACGGGUAUGUUUUGUCGGUGAGGGGAGACAUUCACAGGAGGAAGACCAUGCUGAGAGGAGUGGCGGACUGCUGCUGAGGAGGAAUGCCGGAAUGGGUAGCAGGAUGAGGUGAGAAUCCUUUCGCCGAAUAUCCAAGUUUCAGAUGGCUGUGCAGUCUGCCCUGAGGAAGUCGGGACCCUAAGGCCGAGGCCGAGGGACGUGGCCGAUGGACAUGCAGGUUGAGAUUCCUGCACCUGGGUAAAUCAGAAGGCAGCGCACGGGUAGUAGGUCGUGCGAGAGAGAGCCCGGUGCAAGCAGAAGCUGCCAGUGGGAGUAAAUCCCUACCAGGAGAGGCAGAUGCGUGAUGCGGAGCAGAAAUAAAAGUAGUAGAUGGACUUAGAGGGGCACGUCGAGAAAGAAGUCGCUAACUGUGUGUUUACUCAGCCCACGUACCGUAAACCGACACAGGUGGAUGAGGAGAAAGUCCUAAAAUGGGCGAGGCAGUGCUAGGAACUCGGCAUCCACCAUGCUGAGGAGGAGAGAGCGCGAGGAGGAGGAGCGCGCGCGCGAGAGAGCGAGCGCGAAGAGGAGGAGAGGAGCGACCUGCGAGAGCAGGCCCGCAGAGAAGAAGGCUCAAGCCAGCUGUUUAGCAAAAACACAGGUCGUCUAUGCAAGAAACCGAGAAAGGGUGAGGUGUAUGGGCUGACGCAUACUGCCCGGUGCUGGAAGAAGGUUGAGAGGAGAGGUUGGCGCAAGCAGAAGCUUUUCAAUUUAAGCCCCAGUCGACGGCGGCAAUAGCUAUAGCUGAGUCCUAAAGGUAGCGAGGAAUUCCUUGUGUGCAGGUGGCGGUUCCGAGCCCACUUUGAAAGGCAUGUGGAUGAUUUGAGGCACUGUCUCGGCAGGACUCGAGUGAGAAAUUGAAAGUACCAGUGAAGAUGCGGUUACGCGCCAGGACGGAAAGACCCCAUGGAGCUUUACUCCAGCGUGAUCUGAGUUUCAGUAGCUGCAUAUGUACAGGAUAGGUGGGGAGACGAAGAAGUGAUGACGUCUGGUGGUGCCGGGUCGUCUGUUGGGAUACCACGCUUGCGUUACUGGGUUUCUAACCUGCGGCCGAUGAAACCGGCGGGGGACAAUGUCUGUGAGUUUGACUGGGGCGGUCCUUGCUCAGCCGAAGGGUAUCAGGGGCUCAAAGGGAUUCCUUCAGGAUGGACGGAAACCAUCCGAAGGAGUUGCAGAGGCAGAAGGAGUCCUGACUGUGACACCGACGGGUGGAGCAGGUACGAAGAGUGGGACUUAGUGAUGCUCGGUGGUGGCAUGAAAUUGGGAUUGCCGUCGCUCUAGCGGAUCAGCUACCCUGGGGAUAACAGGCUGAUCACUCCCAAGAGUUCACAUCCGACGAGAGUGACUGCGGCACCUCGAUGUCCGACUCCAUCGCAUCCUGCUUUCUGCUUGAGGUCCCAAAAGGGUUGGGCUGUUCGCCCAGUAAAAGCGGUACGCGAGCUGGAGUUCAGAGCACGUCGUGGAGACAGUUCGGUCCCUAUCCAGCACUUGAGCGUGGGAUAUCUGAGAGGAGCUGUCCUUAGUACGAGGAGGACCACAGGAUGGACGGACCGCUGGUGUAUCUGCUGCGUUGUGUGAGGCAGUCAAGCCAUGUCAUCGGCAGGGACCGACAUGAAGGCAUCUAGCGUGCUCAAGAUGGGAUUAUCCCGCCUGCAGGGCAUGGGAUCCCUUGGAAGGUACACAAGGUGGAUGGAGGCGGGAAGGGUGUAGAGUGCUGGUAGCCCUGCUCACGGCUGAGCUCCGUACUAAUGCAGAUCGAGAGGCUUGU